CUCAAUUGGAGGGAACAACGAGGUAAGAAUCUAUUUGACAAUUAUUUAAUCCCAGACACAAAGUUCACCUGAAUCUAUUCAUAAUCUACCCAUUUUUGCGUUGUUUUCUUUUUUCCAGUUGUAUUUUCAAUGGUUAAUUAGCUUUAUCAGAGGCACAUUUUCUCUAGUACUAUGUAAAGAAUAAAAUAAUUGUGAACAAAUUCAUUGAUUUGGUAUGGAUACAGUACAUAGGUGUUUAUGUUCUGUAUAUAAAUUGUGCAAAGCUACUGAUAGGAUUUUUAACGUCUAUGGAAAUAGGGUCAAAAUCACAUGAAAUACUUGCAAGAAUACAAGGAUGUAGUAUAGAUGCUCAUGCAAGGUUGAUCUCCGCAAGGACUAUUUUGAUAAUUUAUGUAAAAACAAUUCAUAAUCAGCUACUUAGAAUUAAUGACUUGAGAAAAGAGAUUAUGAAAGUGGGCAAUAUUAAAAACGAAUUUUAAUUUAAAACUAAUAUGACAAAAGAAAAGAGUUUUAAAUACCAAUUUAUAAUAACACUAGGGUUCCACCAUCAUCUAGCAAUCCUACGAAUUUCUACCAAUUUCUCAUGAUUUACACAUGCCACUUUGAAAGUUAGGUUUUCCUAAUAUAUAUUCUUCUCGUGAUAUUCAAGCAAGAACGUAUAUCUAACAUGCAAUAUGCAAUCCGUCUGUAAUAUUCAGAUCAAAUAUGAACAUGCAAAACUCAUAAAGUUUUAUGAAAACCUUUUGAAGAACCAUGCAACCCUUAAGAGCAUGAUAUUCGCCUUAGAUGAAUAUUACGAUCGAAUUGCAUCCAAUCACUUGUCUAAACAUCCUAAUAGUGGCCAGUCAUCAAGACAAUUAGAUAGUUUAAAACAGUGAUCAAUAAUUCAAAGUGUGCAUGCAAUCAAUCAUAAGCAAUUAAAUAAAAACUACAUAUUCAUGCUAAGACUCAAGGUUUCGCCCUAGCAAGAGGAAUUAGUUACGCAUAUUCAUAAUUGAAAUCAUAGAAAAUAUUGUUAAGAAGAAAACGAAUGAAAACACCUUAACGUAGAAAAUCUCCAAGAACCCUAGUAAAGUUCUUUAUCUCUGAAGUUGAAUAAUAAUAAGCGUAGAGAAAAACUGUAGACGGCCAAGCAAUAUAUUUGCUAAGCCAUCACACUAACCCUAAAACAUAAGUCUCUUACUCCAACUAGGAAACUAAAUAAUAAUAAAAUAUCUUAAAAAAUAAAGUCAUAAUUAAACUAGGAGAAUCUGCCAGGUAACUGUACAGCCACGUUUUAGUCUCAGAUAUCCUCCAAAUCUGGCCCAUGAUAGCUUGUUUUGAAGAUCAAGAUGUUCUGAACACAUCUCCAGAAGGCCAAGAACCCAUCCGAGAUCAUCUUAGGCUCAAAAAACGCAAUUUAAGCCCAGAAACGUCAUUUUUCAGCACUGCACAUCGCUCAUUUAUUUUAUCGCUAAAAAAUAACUGCUUGGUGGAAAAAUCUCAAAUUUUAAUACGAUCAAGCUAAGUGACUCACAAACGUCUUCCCAACUAGAAUUACUCCAAAAUUCAUCCAUUUGACCACGUUUUGCUCCAGAGGAAGUAGAAAGUCCUAUAUUGAAAAUACAAUUCAAAAUAUCAAAAUUCUUCCAAAAUAUGAAUCAAAAUAUACUAAGAAUAGGGUUAAAUAUAUAAUAUAAAAUUCACUUAUCAGCUACCAUUUCAAUAUAAAGGUUUUUGGGUUUGCCUUGGCUGGUUGAGCAGAUUGGUGCAAGACAUGAGGCAUCUUCAUUUUAACUAAAAUUAAAAAAAAAAAUGUAACUGAUGUGUCCUAGCUAUAUAAUCAUAUGACCAUGAUUGACAUUAGCAGGAAUGAAUAGAGCAAACAAUCAAUAAAACUACAAAGGCUCUAUUGUGGCAUUAGCAGUAAUGAAGGUCCCAAGUGUAUACAAGUUAGUAGUGGAAGUUUUUUCUAUUAGAAACAAUAGUCCUUUAAGUGAAAACUAAAUAAAAUGGAGCAAACAAUCAGUAAAACUACAAAAUCUCUAUUGCACUGAAGUAGGAACACAUAAUUACUUAUAUUGGUUAUCCUACAUGUCAAAACUAUUUUUGGCAUCAAUCAGUGCUCAAAUGUUUACACAAGGAACACAACAACACAGGUUAAGGCAAAUAAUUGUACAUGCGAUUACAUGUAUUUCAAUAAAUAUGCACACAUUAACAGUCUGUCAUCACAUCUAAUGAGGUGAACACAUAAGGAGCGGGAGAAUGCAUUUGCUUACUUGAUAAAAGGUGGGCACAUGCUUGGACAUUUGAGAUGUUUGAACUCAUAUGUUUCCACCGUCUUGACAGUAACGGAGACGAAAAGAUUUUCAGAGAUGGACAGUCAAAAUAACACUACACAUACAGACAAUACAAGGCCAACAGACUUUUGGCGACCUAAAGCAUCAUCCUCGCCAAUAAUGUCCAAAACAUCAUCCUCUCCAUAAGUGUCCAAAGCACCAUCUUUGCCAUCAAUGUCGUCGUCUUGUGAUACAUACUUGGGACCCAAUCCAUGGUAUACCAGGCACAUAAGCCCAUCGCCCAAAUGAGUGACGAGGAAGUGUCAUACAACCUCGAAACAAGGAUAGAAUAUGCCUUGGAGCUCGUCUACCACUCGAACUUCAAUCGGGAUACCAUUGGAGUUCAAUUCAUAUGCAACAACCUCUUACUUCAAUGAACGCUUGCCCCUUUGGGCAUUGGUCUUUUCUUCUUUUUUUGGGUCUUAGUCGGGCCUUCUCUUAGGCCUACAUUGUUCUAGGGAUCGGAAAAAUACCUUGAGUUAACACUUGUAAGUCAUAUUUGCGAUAGAUUGACGAAGGAACUCUUCAAUUUAAUGGAUGGGUAAACAUUCAAAGAGACAAAAUAUGUAGAUUGAAGUCAAAGGUUGUUAUAUAUGAGUUGAACUCCAAUGGUAUCCCGAUGGAAAUUCGGGUGUUAGACGAGCUCCAAGGCAUAUUUUAUCCUCGUUUCGAGGUUGUAUGACACUCCCUCGUCACUCAUUUGAGCGAUGGGCUUAUGUGCCUGGUAUACCAUGGAUUGGGUCCCAAAUAUUAUCACAAGAUGAAGACAUUGAUGGCAAGGAUGGUGCUUUGGACACUUAUGGAGAGGAUGAUGUUUUUGGACACUGUUGGCGAGGAUGGUGCUUUGGGCCUCCAAAAGUCUGUUGGCCCUGUAUUGUCUGCACGUGUAGUGUUAUUUUGACUGUCCAUCUCAGAGAAUCUUGUCUUCUCCGUUACUGUCGAGACAGUGGAAACAUAUGAGUUCAAACAUCUCAAAUGUCCAAGAAUGUGCCCACCUUUUAUCAAGUAAGCAAACACGUUCUCCCUCUCCCUAUGUGUUCACCUCAUUAGUUGUGAUGACAGAUUGUUAAUAUGUGUAUGUUUAUUGAAAGACGUGUAAUCGCAUGUACAAUUAUUUACCUUAACCUGUGCUGUUGUGUUCCUCGUGUAAACAUUUGAGCACUGAUUGAUGCCAAAAAUAGUUUGGACUAGAAAUUGUGCCCGCGCGUUGCUGCGGAAUUGAAAAUUGUAUGAAAAAUUACGCAACUGUAUUCUCUUCAUAAAACAAAUAUAACAGAGUUUUAAAUAAUUAGAUAAUGGAAAUUGGAUACAAAAAUAUUAAAGUGGCAAAGUAAAUGUAAGUGGUGAGACAAGCUAUAAUAAUUCUGCCCCCGAUCUUUAUCGAACAUAGGCUUGAAGAAGCAAUCAUUUCUACUUUUGGUGAUUGAAUACAAACUCCAACAUAAAAUACAUGACAUGAUAAAGCAACAAACUUUAUAGGUGACAUCGUAUGAAAAUUGCUAGUCCAGACGCAAUAGUGUAAUAUAACAGAAUAUAAUAGGAUUUAAAAAAGUUCAAUUUCCAUAUCAACUAAGUUGCUGAAACAAAAUUUAAAAUCAAUUCAGUUAUAAUUCAUCUAGUAGGAUAAUCAUCAAUUAAGUUGCAUUUCAACAAAAAUUAGACUGCAACCUGUAAGUGAAGAAAAAGAAGAAUCUUACUACUAUAAGGCCAGUUUUCUUGUCGAGCUCAUACUUAACCUUGCCACGUUUGCCAAUUUCAACAAACUGAUAUAGAAAUAACCAUACUCACAAACCGGUCAACAAUCAAGAAAAUGGGAGUGUGUGUGAGAAAGAAUCCAACCUUAAUUGUGCGCAUGAAAUUCAGCAACUUCCUAUAAUAACUCUGUAAUCGUAUCACCCAUGAAACUACAUAAACAAAACCAACAAAUGUGGAAAUCUAAAGGCAUCAUAAACAUCACAGAUUAAACACAACUUAUGAUUAAUCUUCAAGAUGUAAAAUUUAAAAUUAUUACUCACAUCAGCAUUCGACCAACAAAUAGGUACAAUUAUCUAGAUACUGAUGAAUUAAAGCUUGCAGCAACAAUUUCAAGACCCAUUGACAUCACGCAAGCGAAUAAAAUGUAUUAGUUAAUUCCCAAGCUAGUAAGAUAAUGAAUUUCAUGAACAAAAAAAGAGAGAUGCAACUCCAAUUUAACAUGUCAAAAGCAUUGCAACUGUAGGUUUGGAAAUUAUAAAAGUCCAUCCAAUCAAUAGACAGAAAACAAUAGUGGUGAGUAGGUGAAUAUGCAACCAAGAAUCUAAAAUAUACUUGACAAAUUUGCGAUUCCAUUGUAGCCUAAAUGAUAACAAAUAAUUUGCCCAUUAUAGACACAGUAUAAUUUAUAUACAAACUCAUCAUGAAUGAAACAAAUUUAAACACCAAAACAGAAAUUUAUUCCUCCAGAGUAGAGGGGGAAAUAAUUUUUGACUUGAAAAGUUGGAAGUAGCACUACUGCAUAAAUUACAAAUGCAAAUUGAGGGAAUACCUAUCAAAUAAAGUUGACUACAUUCUGAGCAAUGCUAGAGAAUAUUCUUAAUCUUUUCAAGUGCUACAUGCAGCAAACAUAAAGUUUGGAUACCAGAUUGGCUCCUAGUUGUUUCCAAAGAAGCAAAAAUUGACAUUAUUUUGCAAUAAAUUGCAGAGAGUACCUUACACAGAAAACAAAAACAAUCAACCAACGAUGUACGAUGAUAAAACUAUAAGACAAAAUAAAAGGCUGAUAUUCAGAUGACCCAUGGUGAUGGUGAUCCAAAAAAAAAUAUAUAUAUAUGGACAACUACUUCAAAAUUGAGUUUUAGAGAGAGUGAGAGGUGAAGUCACCUUGUAACCAGAGACCAAAUCCAUUUUUUUUCUCAUUACCCACGUUGCAAUUCAACUUGAGAAAUCCCGAAACCAAACACCCAAACACAAUGCAAUCAAAUAUCAGCACGAAAUAUUAAUUGGAAGCUAAAAAGAUUGAAACUUGCCUACUGUGAUGUAUACAGUUUGGGCAUUUGCUUGUGAGACUGUUGUGACAUGCUGAUCUCAGCUCCUUUAAAGUAAAAUCAGGCGUUGUCUGCCAAGUAGGUAAAAUCCAUAAGAUAUCUUAUAAUCCAUGAGAUAAAUUAUUGCGUCAAAGUUAUACGCUAAAAGAAAAUUCAUACUUCCAUAUGAACCCAAAGGACAAUUUUUGCAUAUACCUUGGUAGGUUCAUUCUCUAGAUGAGUUUCUCUACUCAUCAUCCAUGUCAUGUGAAAACCUCAUGCUAACUUCUGCAGAAAGCCACCAAAAAAAUGAAAAAUAAAAUUAGACAAAAAGGUUGGAGAGAAUACGAAAUAACUAAUUAGAGAGAGCAGAACCAUAGUAACCAAUCGGAAAGAUGCUUUUAAAUUCAAGAAAAAACAUUUAAGAGAAAGUGAAAAUAAAAACCAUCAAUUUUCAAUUAUUUUUCAGUCUUACAGUUAGGAUUACACAGAAAAUAUAACUAAAAUCCACAACUUUCUCAGAAAACUACAACUAUUUUUUACAAAUUUCCAUCACCCAACAUUGAAAAAUGAAAAUUAAGAAGCAACACAAAAGUAGGCAAACAACAGAUAAAAGAACAAAACACGUGAGAACCGAAACGUUAAAAACACAACACAUACCCAUUCAAAAACAAAAAAUCCCAGAAAAUCUGUAUAUUAGCACUCCCUGCAAUACCCCAAAAUCAGAAAAUUAGAAAAAUUUAGUUUGAUAACAUUGUACCUUAAGAAACCUCUAAAUUUCUAGUCAAAGGAAAAUUAAUACCACAUUUGCAUAAAAAAUAAUCAGAAGAUAAAAACUCAAAUUCAUAAAGCAUUUGUUCAAAGUAUUUAUUAGAGAAACUUACAUAUGGAUGAAGGUGUCGAUCUCUUGUAUCAUGUAAAGCAGCAUCGCCUGGACUUCGCGAAUAUAAUAGGUUCUCAGCAUUCAAAUGAUUUUCAUACACUUUGAAAAAAACCGGACCAUAUAACUGCACAAAAAAAUUAAAAAAAAAAUUAUAAUGAUAAAUUCGAAUCUAUAGUACAAUAAAGAACAAAAAAAAAGUCACUUAUUAUAAAUCAGCUACUUUGCUUCAUCAUCGUCUGCACAAUCUUCUGCCAAUUCAUACCUAAAUAUCCAUAAAAUCUAACAAAUAAAUCGCCUGAAAAAACAUAUGAAAUCCAAACUCCAGCAGUUUUGAAGUAACCUAAAAUAAAAAUUAUUCUUAUAGAUACAAAGAAACUAAACAAAAUUUAUACCUUUCUCUUUUUUGGGAUUUGAAAUUCUCGAGAGCCCCAUCCUCAUUUUCUUUAGUCCAGACAACAGAUUGAGAAGCAUCUUUACAAAAUACACACAUGCAUGAGUCAAAGUCGCUUGAUUUGACAUUCGGCCAUGAAAACAAAGAAAGGGAGAGGUGGCCGUGCUUUAACUUUAUCGGCGAUGGGAUUUGCGGAGUCCUCCGUGAAGGCAGAGUCAUCGAUGAUGAGUGCAGAGCCGAUCUGAGCAAGGCACCGCGAGAUGGUGAUGGAUCUGGAUCCAGUUUGGGGGUUGAACUUUUGGAGAUCGAUUUAAUUUCUUGUUUCAAAAGUGUUAAUCGCAGAAGACACAAUAGAGACGUUUGCGGGAGGUGUGUUAGGGAAGCAGAGGGCUAGAGUUUUUUUAGAAAGAAGCAGACGUCUGAGAGCUUGGCUUCGAAAUGGAACGAAGAGUCCAGAAGCACCAGAAUUUCUAGAACCACAUCAACGCGUCGAGAUCCCAUAGAAGCAGGUUUCUUUUCCACGAUGACCGACACGUGUAUACAAAGGGUACAAUUGUAACUUCACUGUACAAAAACGGAAAAAAUAGCUGUGAAUGGGCAGCAGCUCAAGGACAGUUCCGCCAAAACACUGCUCGUGAACAGUGCUUUUCCCCCGGGUUUUAGUAUAUAGAUAAUACUAGAUAUUUGUGCCCGCGCAUUGCUGCGGGAUUGAAAAUUUCAUGAAAGAUUAUGCAACUUCAUUCUCUUCGUAAGCAAUGUUUGAGUUAAUUUUGUUCCACUUAAGCAGCAAUGAGAAAUUAUAGAAAUUGUAGAAAGGCAGAAUUAACGUAUGCCAAAUGUAUUUCAAUGGUACUAAUUAUAUAGAAUUGGGAAGUCAAAUAAAUCAUAUAUAGCCACAAAAUAGUAACAGGUACAGAUGAGAUUAUAUUAGUGUAUAAGCUGUGAGCUAAGUAGAGUUAAAGUAAAUAAGCCUUGUUUUAAUUGUGUAUUCACUUAGUCUUAGAUUAUGACAAGUGUAAGGCUGAGAUUGUAUUGUUGGUUGUGGAUAUCCAACUAAGGCUAGUUGUUAUGUACACAUGCUUUUGUGCGUGUAUUGAGUGUGAGAUAUAUAAAACAUCACUCUCAGACUUAGAGAGGAAGAACAGAGCAUUCCUUCACAUUGCAUUUCUCUCUAACCUUUCAAAUUCCUUACUUCCUUAGAAACAUAGCUAGUUCAAAGCACUCUAACAUGGCCUCAGAGCCUUGUUCGAUCAUUUGAGAUCUGGGAGUAAACUGUGAAGCAAUCGAGCUACACUCGAGCUCGUUCCGGUUCAGGCGAAGUCGCCGAAAUUCCAUAGAAUCCGAUUUCGAUUUGUGUUCGUCUCGUCUAAGCUAAGAGAUGGCUGGAUCUGGAAGUUCUGAGGUGAGAACUCCGAUCUUCUCCGGUGAGAACUACGAGUUCUGGAGAAUCAAGAUGGUGACGAUCUUCAAAUCUCACGGGCUAUGGAAAUUAGUUGAAAAGGGGAUUACGAUCUCAGAAACAAAGAAGAAGAAGGUUGAAGGAAGCUCAGAGGAAGAAGAAGACGAUGAGAAAAUGGUCGCAGCAUAUAUGCAAGAUGCAAAAGCUCUGGUUAUUAUCCAGAAUGCGGUCUCGGAUCAAAUAUUUCCUCGGAUUGCCAAUGCUGAAUCAGCCAAGAUGGCAUGGGAUCUACUGUAUGGAGAAUACCAUGGUGGUGAUCAGGUUAGAUCCGUAAAACUUCAGAAUCUUAGAAGAGAAUUUGAGUAUGCUAGAAUGCGGGAUGAUGAAUCUUUGUCUAGUUAUCUUACAAGAUUGAAUGAGUUAAUUAAUUAGAUGAGAACAUUUGGUGAAUCCCUUUCUAAUGAGAGACUUGUGCAGAAGGUUCUGAUUAGUCUAAGUAAGCCUUAUGAUUCCAUCUGUUUAAUUAUAGAAAACACAAAGUGUCUAGAGUCUGUUGAGCUGCAAGAAGUUGUUGCGAUUUUGAAGAGUCAGGAACAACGAUUUGACUUGCAUAAUGUUGAUACCAUUGAGAAGGCUUUUGCAUCAUUCUCAGUAAGUCCAAAUGGGCAAAAUAGAAGUGGAGUUCAAUCUGGCUCAUCAAAAUUCCAGAAGAAUUGGAAUGCUAAGGGAAAGAAAUGGGAUUCGAAACCUCGAUUCCAACAGAAACCUUUCACUUGUCCUGCACCAAAUCCAUAUCAGUCACAGUCAAUGAGUCAAGAGACUGUCAAACCACAGUGUAGAGUGUGUUCUAAGUAUCAUUUUGGUGAAUGUCGAUAUAAGGGGAAGCCUAAGUGUUAUAAUUGUGAUAAGUUUGGUCAUUGGGUUAGAGAAUGCACUGUAGGGAAGAUUGUGCAAAAGGCAAACUCUGUAAAUCAGGUGGAAGUGUCAGGAAAUCUGUUCUAUGCUAAUAGUGCAAUCUCAGAAACAAAUAUCAAUGGAAAUUGGUAUGUUGACAGUGGUUGUAGUAAUCACAUGACAGGGAAUGCUGAUCUCCUUGUUGACAUAAAUACAAAUGUUGCUGGAAAGGUGCAAAUGCCUACUGGUGUGUUAGUAAAUGUGGCUGGAUGGAAUGGGUUCAUUGCAGAUUGACACUAACAGAGGUAAAAUGUAUAUCAGGGAAGUCAUGCAUCUGCCAGGUUUAAAAGAAAACUUAUUGAGUGUUGGACAAAUGGAUGAGCAUGGAUAUUAUCUAGUGUUUGGAGGAGGUUUGUGCAGCAUAUAUGAUGGACCUUCACUUGAAAACCUUAUCAUCAAGGUUAAGAAGAAGGAAAAUCGAUGCUAUCCUCUUUCUCUGGUAAAAAAUAAUCAGUUAGUUUUGAAGGCUAGUUUGGAGCAUUCUACUCAGUUUUGGCACAGAAGACUAGGCCACUUGAAUCUCAGAGGGCUUCAGCAACUCAGUGAGAAGAAUAUGGUGCAUGGUCUUCCAUACCUAGAAGCAACCAAGGAUGUAUGUCAAGGAUGUCAAUUUGGAAAACAGCACAGAGAAUGGUUUCCAAAAGAUCAAGCCUGGAGAACAAGCUGUCCUCUGGAACUUAUACAUGUUGAUAUCUGUGGUCCUAUGCAGAAUGCAUCAUUGGCUGGAAACAAAUUUUUCAUGCUAUUCAUUGAUGACUGUACAAGGAUGAUCUGGGUGUAUUUUCUCAGAUACAAAUCUGAUGCAUUCAAUUACUUCAAAAAAUUCAAGUCAAUGGUGGAGCUGCAGAGUGGUUUCAAAAUUAAAAAUCUAAGGAGUGACAGGGGUGGAAAAUUUUUAUCUUCUGAGUUCACUAAAUUCUGUGAAACUGAGGGCAUUCAAAGGCAACUCACCAUGGCUUAUACUCCUCAACAGAAUGGAGUAGUGGAGAGAAAAAAUUGAACUGUGGUUGAAAUGGCAAAGACUAUGCUUCAUGAUAGAGGUAUGCCAUAUGUUCUUUGGGCUGAAGCUAUACACACAGCUGUAUAUAUUCUAAAUAGGUGUCCUACAAAGGCACUAGGAAAUACAACCCAUUUUGAAGCCUAUAGUGGCAGAAAACCAGGUCUUGCACAUCUCAAGAUUUUUGGUUCCCUGUGCUAUGUUCAUAUAUACCUACUGAGACAAGACAGAAGCUAGAUGCUAAGAGUGUUAAAGGUGUAUUUGUGGGUUAUGCUACAUGUGAGAAGGGAUACAGAAUAUUUGAUCCAUGUACCAACAAGUUAAUCUUGUCAAGAGAUGUGGUUUUUGAUGAAUCUAUGACCUGGAAUUGGAAAGAAAGUUCACAAAGUUCAGCUACUGCAACUUACAUUCAGGAUCAACCUGAGAAUGUAGUUUGUGAGAAUCCAUAUGAGAUGAGUGUGAUUGAAGGAAGUUCUCUCAGUCCUAGUUCUUCUUUUCAUACUGAAGAACAAGAAAGCAGCAUUCAAGAAUCUGAUGAGAUCCCUCAGUCUUAUGAUCAUACUCCAGUGAAAUGGAGAAGCAUAAAUGACAUUAUGACACAGUGCAACAUUUGCAUUGUGGAACCUGAGAAAUAUGAAGAAGCUGCACAAGAUCAGGCUUGGAUAAAGGCAAUGGAAGAAGAACUGCAAAUGAUUGAGAAGAAUGGAACUUGGGAGAUUGUUGACAGACCAAGUGAUAAGCAGGUGAUUGGAGUUAAAUGGGUGUUCAAAACCAAACUGAAUCUAGAUGGUUCAGUACAAAAGAACAAGGCCAGAUUGGUUGCCAAGGGGUAUGUGCAGAAACCAGGACUCGAUUACAAUAAGACUUUUGCUCCAGUUGCCAGAUUGGACACCAUCAGAACACUGAUUGCACUUGCUGCACACAGAAACUGGAAGAUAUUUCAAUUAGAUGUUAAGUCUGCUUUCUUAAAUGGAAUAUUGCAGGAAGAAGUAUAUGUUGAUCAACCUGAAGGGUUUGUGAUUAAUGGCAAGGAAGACAAAGUUUACAAACUGCACAAGGCUCUUUAUGGCUUGAAACAGGCACCUAGGGCCUGGUAUGGAGAGAUUGACAGUUAUUUUGCUAAGUGUGGGUUUGAGAAAAGCUUAAGUGAAGCAACUCUCUACACUAAGACAAGGGGAGAAAAGGAUAUACUAAUAGUCUCCAUAUAUGUGGAUAAUAUUGUGUAUACUGGAAACAAUCAAGACAUGUUGGAUGAGUUCAAAGAAGAUAUGAAGGAGAAGUAUGAGAUGUCAGACUUGGGCCUUCUUCACCAUUUUUCUGGGGAUGGGAGUAAUUCAAACAGAAUCUAGCAUCUUCAUUCAUCAAAAGAAGUAUGCCUCUUCCCUGUUGGAUAAGUUUGGACUGAAAGAAUGUAAAUCUGUCUCUAUACCUCUUGUGGCUACUGAAAAGUUGAGUAAAGAAGAUGGCAGUGGUGCAGCAGAUGAAGAGAAAUAUAGAAAGCUUGUAGGCAGUUUAUUGUAUCUUACUGCUACAAGACCAGAUGUGAUGUAUGCAGCUAGUUUGUUAGCUAGAUAUAUGCAUGGUCCUUCUAACAAGCACUAUGGGAUAGCUAAGAGAGUGCUCAGAUAUAUCAAAGGAACACUAGAUUAUGGUUUGCAUUAUGUGAAAGGCAAGAAGGCAGUUUUAGUUGGUUUCUGUGAUAGUGAUUGGGGAGGAUCAAUAGAUGACAGCAAGAGUACCUCAGGCUAUGCUUUUUCAUUUGGCAGUGGAGUGUUUUCAUGGGCUUCUGUGAAACAAAAUUGUGUUGCACUAUCCAUAGCAGAGGCUGAAUAUAUUAGUGCUGCCGAAGCAACAUCUCAAGCUAUAUGGAUCAGGUUUGUUCUUGAAGAUUUUGGAGAGUUACAAGCUGAAGCAACUCCUUUGCAGUGUGACAAUACCUCUGCAAUUUCAAUAACUAAAAAUCCAGUGUUUCACCAAAGGACUAAGCACAUUGACAGAAGAUAUCACUUCAUAAAGGAUGCUUUGCAGCAGGGAAUUUUUGACUUGGUAUACUGUCCAACCAAAGAACAAGUGGCAGACAUUUUUACCAAGGCCUUACCAAAAGAGAGAUUCAACUAUCUCAGAGAUAAGCUUGGAGUUGUAUCAGCUCAAAGCUUAAAGGGGAGUAUUAGUGUAUAAGCUGUGAGUUAAGUAGAGUUAAAGUAAAUAAGCCUUGUUUUAAUUGUGUAUUCACUUAGUCUUAGAUUAUGACAAGUGUAAGGCUGAGAUUGUAUUGUUGGUUGUGGAUAUCCAACUAAAGCUAGUUGUUAUGUACACAUGCUUUUGUGCGUGUAUUGAGUGUGAAAUAUAUAAAACAUCACUCUCAGACUUAGAGAGGAAGAACAGAGCAUUCCUUCACAUUGCAUUUCUCUCUAACCUUUCAGAUUCCUUACUUCCUUAGAAACAUAGCUAGUUCAAAGCACUCUAACAGAUUAAUCAACAUCUACCAAAUCAAAAGUAGAUGUGGAAAUUGAAAUAAUAAACCUUGUUUUCUGUUCAAAAAGUCAUGCAACAAUGGGAACAUGACUAACCGGAUAGAACUGUGAUUAACUCACUCCAUCCGUAAACAAAAGAAACCCAAACCAAGUUCAGCAAGAAUUAUGCACGACCUUUUUGAAAACUAUAUAAUGAAUUAUAACAAAUUGUUAAACAAACAUGGACCGGAGGUUAUCUUAAAAUUCAUUUAAAUGGAAAAUGGUAAAUUUGGUUCACUUGAGAUGCUCACCUUUCAAAAUGCGAUACUAAUAUAAGUUGCAUAUUAGGAUGAAAUGCAUUAACGCUUACACUUCAUAAAAGAAAAAACCAACAAAAUUCUAAUUUGUUUUUCUACUCAAUGUUCCAGGAAAUUGCCUAAAUAGCAAGAACAAUUGCACAUGGAGCCUACCUUCUGAGUAGCACUUAAAAGCUCUCUUUGAACUCUCCUGUGCUCAUAUGAGAGGGAAUUUUGUCGUCGCUCAAUUUCAAGUCUAGCCUCUCUUUCCAUAAUGAGAGAUUCCAUUGCAGCCUGAUAGACAUAUUCAAACAUUUAAUAAUGUACAGAAGUUACCUAAAUUCAGCCACAAUGAAUAUCAAACCCAUCUACUUACCAUCUUAUCCAACUCUUAUUUCGUAAAUUUCUCUUGUAAAGAAGCAUAGUUUUUCCUGAGCCCCGCAAUAAUCUAAUUCAAUUCUUCUUGCUUUUCAAUAAGAUCCCUAUUAUCAAACAAACACAAUUACUGUAGUAAACAACUUCAUUGAGGAUUCAAACGCACAAAAUAUGUUAAUUCAAACCCAUUUCAUCGCGAUGCCGCUCUAACCAUGAAAAAUUAAAAUUAUAAUCACUCAAAUCAAUUACAGUAUAUCACAAACUAUGUCAUCUAAUAAUCAAUAAAUUUAAGAAAAUUUAAAAUAAAAUCAAAAUCUUUAAAUGUCCUAAUUUUCUCAAAUCUCAGAAGCCAAACAAUAUAAAAAAACAGAAAAAAAAAGGAGACGGAUGAGAAGUGAAGGUUGAGUUGAGUAACUAACUUGUCAGGAUUUGGAUAAGAGGCAGGAAGAGAAGGCCAUGAUCGGAACGCAAUCUUCCUCUUCUUCUUGUAAUUUCUGUUUCUCCUUUCAGAUUUCAAAUACAAAACGACCCAUACUUAAAUGAACUUAAUCCCUGUAAAAAGUUUGGUAUAAAACUUUCAUGACACUUCUAUAAAAAUCCAGAAUGCAUGGUUCUUUUAAAAUCAACACAUAACUUCAUUUUAAACUUGUAUAGACACAAACUUAAUCAAUUGAUUUAUAUUUAAAUAGAAAGAAUGUAGUGGUCAGUUUUACCUAUAUUUUGUUUGUUGUCACUCCAUUUCUAUUUUUAAUUAAAAGCUUGUAACUUAUACGCAUUUGCUUAUAAUUUUUACUUCCCUUCCCUUCCCCUGCUGCAUAAACAGUAGAGUAGCCCUCGUUUACCUACAACAAAUCGAAAACCAUUUGGAGAAAAUAACUAAGCAUUUGGUUAUUAGAUUCUUAGUAGGCAAAGCAAGAAAAUUACACAUAACGAAACUAUUGAAACUUUAAAACCCACUUCCCAAAUUAGGUUCUCAGACUGGCUAAUGAGCAUAUUGAUUUUAAACUAUCAUCCCAAACCUGCAAUGCAUGAGGUUUUUUAUUUUUUAUUUUUUUGGACAGUGUAAUUAAUCAUUUUUAAUAGAAGAAUACAAUUCAUAUAACAAUAAUUAGUAGAGAAAACGAACGCAGUAAUGUAAAAAUCAUGGGGUUACUUAAAUUUUGAGGGCUGAGGAGGCACCAAGUUCCAUUUUUAGUCAGAGUUCGAAACUGAAUUUGAGACUCUUAUAGGUUCUUGUUAACAAACAUAACAUGGUGGACCAAAUUAAAAACAUAUUUAAACCAAAAACUAUAAUAUGAGUUUUUCUAAUUUUUCUAUAAGAAUUCUCAAAACUCUAAACAAAAAGAAAAGUUUACCGCAAGGUUGGAGCUAACUGGGGUCAAUUCUCCUUGCUCUGCAAUCACACAAAACAAAAAUCAAAGUUCAAAACUUAAUAUAACCUCAUCAGCCAAUUCAAAGUCCAAACAAUUAACUAAAAAAAUCCAGAAUUUAUAAAGUGAAAACCAUAAUUAUUGAGGUUAGAUUGCAGGACAACCAACCUCUACUCGUUUUCUGGCAAAUUUGGGGUCCUUUGAUUUCUAGACUUUGAGUAGAAACUAAUUAUACCAUGGGCUAAUAUUCAAGUACCACAAAAUAUAAUUUUAUCGUAGUAAGCUUUUCGAUUCACUCCAAACGAAGGUUUUAUAUGUUCACAUACAUACAUUCACAACCAUAAGAAAGAAGAAAACAACUUUUGGUACAGAGCAAAAAUGAAGCACUAACGGAUUCCCACACACCAAACUUUGAGAACAAACAAAAACAGAACCAAAUUAUAUAGCAGCAUGCAAGUCACGAAGGAACAAAGAAAAAAGAAUACUCAUUUGCAAAUCCAAAAUUAGAAAAAAAGAGCAUAGACAAAACUGGAAAACUCACCACAAAAACGCUGGUCGUCGGAGUUUUUUUUUUUUUUUUUUUGGCAACGAAAUUGGAAAAUCUGAAAAAACUUGUAGCCGCAAUUUUUCAGCAACAAACCUUCGGUGUCAACAUUUUAUAACAGAGACACACAAAAGUUAGACACGAAGAGAAAACGAUGCAUUGAAAAUUCUGGAAAAAAAAAGGACUUACAGUGACGGACGGCGGAGGACAGAGCAACAAUCGCGGCUCAGAGAAAACCCUAGCUUGAUCCACGCCGCUAGUUUUGGACAGUGUAGAAAUCGAAGGAAAACCCAAAUCCAAGGAAAAGCAAAUGGCUUUUCGAAUUCCAUUUAUUUAUUUAUUUUUAUUUUUCUGGAGUUUGGCCACUGUGAUUUAUAGUUUUUGAGAGAGAGAACUGGAGAAAUUUCUACUGGGUUGGUCUUUUUCAGCAGGAAAGUGAGAGAAAUCGAGAUCGGAGAGCGAGGGAAGGCAAACUUUAGCAACAUAAGGGUUUGUGGGAGAGAUCGAAAUGGAUGGAAGGCUUCUUGGGUAGAGAAAGAAAGCAUGAGAAAGAGUGAGAGAUGAGAGAAGACCGCAAAGUGAAGGAGAGUUAGAGGAAAAGUCGAGAAGGAGUCGAAGCAGAGCCCUUCGACGAUGAUCGACGCGUGGAGAGGAUGAUUGAAGAGGAGGUGUGCAGAGCGAUGAACGCGUGGGCAAAAAUUAGAGGAAUUGCGAGGAACGAUGUGCGGAAGAAAGGAAAGACGUGAUGAACAGUGGUGGGGAACUGUUCCAGAUGCCAUGAUGUUGUGUUUUUUAAUUAUUUGUUUUCUGGUGAUAGAUACCCUCUCUCACAAUCCAUGCUCAGCUUUUGUUUCUCUCUCUCUUUCUUUUUCCCCUUUUCUAUCCAUUUUAUUCUGCAUGUUCCAGAUUUUUGGUUUUUUAAUUAUUUUUUGGUGGAAAGGCAUGCAUCAUUGCUGCCAGAUGUGGAUCAGGUAUGGUUUUUUAAUUAUUUUUUUUAUGGAAAGGCAGGUACCAUUUGCUGCCAGGUGUGGAUUAGGUAAGGGAAAAACGCUGGAAUCGAAGAGGGAGUCAGAAUUUAAAAGAAGAUACACAUGAUGAACAGUAGCCCUCUCACAUGAUGAACAGUGGACGGGAACUGCUUUAGUAGAUAGCUACAACAAUAUGGAAAAAAAAAAGGAAACAGGAAAGUAUUAACCCGUGGCCUCUGAGGGCAAGGCAGUCUUUUCACUGUGGAAAAGAUGGCAAAAAUUUGGCUUAACAAACAAAUCGAGGGGCAUUUUAGUCCGUGCACUGUCCAUGAACAGUACCACGUCGUUGGGGUUUUAGUAUGGGGGCGUUUGUUUGCCCUCAUUAAAUGGGACUGGACUAGACUGGACUAGCCGUUAGUCUAACACUGUGUUUGUUUCAUGCUGGGACUAACAUUAAUGAGACUAAAAGGGACUAGCAUGGACAAAACCCUUCACUAAGAGGUCUUAGCGAGACCCCCCAAUAACCAUGGGACUAGCUAAGACUAUCUUCUCUCGUCCUUGUCAUGCUCAACAACCACUCCCGAUAGACUCCCCGUCAUCUCCGGUCACCUAAAUCAUAAUAAAAUAUUAAUAAUUUAUAUAUUAAAUAAUAUAAUAUUAGAAUUUGUUAUUAUCCAGCUUCUUAGUCCAACACUGCACCAAACGCUUCACUAAGUUAGUCCAGCUUAGUCUAGUUUAAACCAGUCCAGCUUAGUCCUUGAAGCUAGUCCAGUCCGAGAUAGUCCGGCGCAACAAACGCCCCCUAUAGGUAUAAUGUAGGACAACCAAUAGAAGUAAUUAUGUAUUCCUACUGUAGUGUAGUAGAGACUUUGUAGUUCUACUGAUUGUUUGCUCUAUUUUAUUUAGUUUUCACUUAAAGCACUAUUGUUUCUAAUAGAAAAAACUUCCACUACUAAUUUGUAUACACUUGGGACCUUCAUUACUGCUAAUGCCACAGUAGAGACUUUGUAGUUCUACUGAUUGUUUGCUUUAUUCAUUACUGCUAAUGUCAAUCAUGAUCAUAUGAUUAUAUAACUGGGACACAUCUGUUACAUACUGUUUAAAAUUUUAGUUAAAAUAAGGAUGCCUCAUGUCCUGCACCAAUCUGCUCAACCAGCCAAGGCAAACCCAAAAACCUCUACAUUGAAAUGGUAGCUUUGCACAAUUUAUAUACAGAACAUAAACACCUAUGUAAUAUAUCCAUACGAAAUCAAUAAAUUUGUUCACAAUUAUUUUAUUCUUUACAUGGUACUAGAGCAACUGUGCCUCUGAUAAAGCUAAUUAACAAUUGAAAAUACAACUGGAAAAAAGAAAAUAACACAAAAGGGGGCAGAUUAUGAAUAGAUUCAUGUGAACUUUGCGUUUAGAAUUAAAUAAUUGUCCAAGAGAUUCUUACCUCGUUGUUCCCUCCAAUUGAGGUUUGCGGAACACCUGGGUUUGGAGAUUACCUCUACAACUGGCAUGACAGGACGACUUUGUGAGGCUAUCUCGCUUCUUGUUUCAUCAUCUCUCCUUCUACAUUCUUUAUGCUCUUACUCUCCCAUUAAGAACUCAAGAUUUAUAAACUAUGAAGAAGGAUUCUAAAAGAUUUUGAUUUUGGUGUGUGACUUUUAGGAUAGAUGUAGAGUUUAUAUAGAGAAAAAAAAAGGGAUGAGGUUGUAGAUAUUGACACGUGGCACCCUGUGAUUGGUUAAAAAUCUUAUCGAAAUCUAUCCACAAUGAUUCUAAACAGAUAGUGACACGUGGUACGAUGAAAAUGGUUAAAAAUCUUAUUGGAAAUUUAUCCACAAAAUUCUUACAGAAUCAUGACAUGUGGCGUUAUGAAAUUGGUUAAAAAUCUAUCCACAAAAUUUGUACUUUGGGAUGUUGACAUGUUGACACACCCCGUCCCGAAGGAGGGCAUGCUGGCCGUCACAUGAGAGUGACGUAACCAUUUACACAGUUCGGAAGCUUUUAAAAUACAAUUAUUAAAAUGGAAACCCUCGAGGGUGAGUCUUACUUUUGUGAAUUCUGUCAGAAUACCGUUGGAUUCCUCGUGGCCAC
rnacentral:lncRNA from 1 species